rnacentral:rRNA from 1 species
UACAGAGGGUGCGAGCGUUAAUCGGAAUUACUGGGCGUAAAGCGUGCGUAGACGGUUAUUUAAGUCGGGUGUGAAAGCCCCGGGCUCAACCUGGGAAUUGCAUUCGAGACUGAAUAGCUAGGGUACGGUAGAGGGAAGUGGAAUUUCCGGUGUAGCGGUGAAAUGCGUAGAUAUCGGAAGGAACAUCAGUGGCGAAAGCGGCUUCCUGGACCAGCACCGACGUUCAGGCACGAAAGCGUGGGGAGCGAACAGG